UUUGGAAGUGACGAACACUGCGUUCAGUUCAUGUAACAAUAUGGGGUUCUAAAUUGAAACCGGAACCAAAUUACCGAAAUUCCGGUUUGGUCUGAUUCGGUAACUUUGCUUCGGUAUAAUUAUCCAAGCCAAAAAAAGAGGAGAUAAAUCAUAAAUGUAUGUUGAGCGUGGAAGACACGCGCUGAAGAUAGAGAAGCUGAUCAGCCUAAUCUUGGGGUCCAAGUUGGGUUGAAUUGAAUUGUGUAGAUAGGCAAUGGAGUUGGAGGGUCGAUAUUGAAUUGAAUCUUAUUUUGUUGCCUUCUGUUUUCCAAGUAGGAGGGGUCCCAUUCACAUGGCUUUUCCUUCUCUUGUUUAGACAUGUGACCAUGUCGUAAGACUAAAGUUCUUUGCGUCUUUUAAAACCCUCGAAAACUAAAUAAAAAAAGUUUAUUGAACGUUGGGUCAUUGUUGGAACGUUUUGAUUCACCGGGACAUGAGAUGUGGUUCGAUCCAUUU